CGCAUAAAACCUGCUGGGAGGAGAAAAGCACUUUAAAACCUUCUGCCCGCCUUCGCGCUAUCCCCCAUUCCCCCGUGCGGAUCGCGGUGAAGCGGGACACGGGGUGGGAGAAGCGAGGCGGCCGCCCCAUGCGAGGGAAAGGAAGGAAGCAAGUAAGCAAGCAAGCAAGCAAGGGGGAAGCAAUUUUCCUCCUUUUGUGAUAUGGUUCUGCAUAGCAUCCUGCACUGUAUACAGUUUCUAGGUGUUCCAGCCACUGCUGACAAAACCUAACAUAUUAUCUGUUUUUUAUGUAGCCUGCUAAGUUUACCAGGAAAAGGGAGGAUCUGACAUCUGACAAGAAUUCCUUCCUGAGCUUUAUCUGCAAUAGUAUUGUUAUCAGUCAGCUUUUUUGCUUUUUUUUUGUGCAUGCACACAGCUGCUCUUCAGAAGAUGAUCAUUUCAGAUCUUAAAAUAACAUUUCACCUUCAUUAUUCAUCACAGCUGUCUGAAAAUUCACAUGAGGAGAAGUACAUUUGUAGUGAUGUGGAAUGUUGGGAUAUUUUUGCUGUGGGUUAGCAUGUGUGUCAGAAGAAAGGUUUCAGAAACUACUUCAACUGUAGAUAUUAAAAGGAAAGACCAUAAAUCUUGUGAUGGAGAAGCUGAUGGUGGUAUAAAAGGACAGAUUCUCCAACUACUCUGCAGAUCUUGACUAACACAAGGACACACUAUGUUACAAAAGGGAACUAAUGUGUUCCUCUCUUUCCUGCCUGCUUCUCCAGUUAGAAUCGAAGGAUGUUUUUCGGCCAGAAAGACUUUGCCUGCAGGGAAUUGUAAGACAUUGUAAGAUUAUUAAUCUGUUUUAUC